AAAAGAAAAUCUCUCUCUCCUCCUCCUCCUCCUCCUCUCUCUCUCUCUGUCUCUCUCUCUCUCUCUAAGGAGAGAUCUUCGCGGGCUCCUCUCCAUCCUCUCCCUCUAUUUUAGGGUUUGGGAGCUCCUCCCCUCCAAUCAAACCCUAAUAGAUCGGUCGAUUUCAAUCCAAGUUUCGUAAUUAUCUCUAAUUGGUAACCAAAAAAUCCUUACCUUUUCUACUCUUUCUGCUGUUUUAGAUCGAUUCUGGAGUUGUUUAUUUGUUAGUUUGAUGAGAUUUUAGGAGCUUGAUGGUAUCGAGGGAGCAUCGCUAGGGUUUGUAGGGUUUGUUUGAGUUUCUCAUGUUCUUUGAUUCUUAUGCUAUUGAUGUAAUUUAAUCUGAGAUGUGGUAAUGUUCGAGAGAUCCAGUGAGAUUUUCGGUGCUUGGUAAAUUUUUUUUUUUCGAUUGCAAUCGGAAAUCGAGGGUUUGCAGGAGAGAAAGAAUAAGAAACAAGUAGUUUGUGUUGGGUUGAAAAAGGAAAUUUUUAGGUUUAGAUUUUAGGGUUUUUGGAGGGGUUGAGUUGAUGCCCCUGAAUUCGUCGUUGUCGAUGUCGUUCGGAGGGGUGGAUGAUUUCGUCGAUUUGGUCGAGCUUUUGCCGUCCGAUCCUUUUGAGAUGAAUCCGGAAAACGCUUUCGAUCCCGCCGUUAAUUAUCGGGUUGGUGAUGCUGUAGUUGAAGAUAAUUCUUUGGAUGGCUCCGGUUGCUAUUGCAAUGCGGCAUUCGAAUCCCAGAUCGGUUACAGAGGUGGCUGUGAAGCCGAAAAUGGGGCUACGAGUGCGGAAGUGGGUGUUCCCCAUGAGGGUCUGUUUUAUGCUCUUGGUAAGCUGGGAGUUAAGGAUCUCCUUUCGGUCGAGAGGGUCUGCAAAUCUCUUUAUUAUGCCGUUCGAAAUGAUCCCCUUCUUUGGAGGUGCAUUCAUGUAGAUCUCGAUUUCAAUCGUAAGAUCCCAGACGAUGCUUUCUUUGCGCUGACGCAGAGGGCCCAAGGCAGUUUGCGGUGCUUGAGCAUGCCUGGAUGUGUAGGGAUCACUGACGACGGUCUCAAGCGCGUGCUUGCGGCUAAUCCGCGGCUGAGCAAGUUGAAUCUCCUGGAAUGUACGGGUCUGACAACACCCGGUCUCAUCAGCAACCUGACAGCUUUUAAAUCGUCAGGUUCUUCCGGAAUAAAACACCUCAGACUUGGCCGGCUCUUCCGCAUAUCAAAGGAACAGUUUGAACAGAUCAAGUUAUUACUAGGCGUAAACCAACUUCAGAAACCAAAUGCUAAAAAAAAGCUGUGGUUCUUUCACGUCGAUCGCUUUUCUUUAGAUUGUGGCGAUGAGCGCCCGCUCGAUGUCGAGAUGUGCCCUAAGUGCUAUAGAUGCCGGCUUGUCUAUGAUUGCCCUAGGGAAAGCUGUAGAGGAGGGUUGGAUCUUUGCAGGGCUUGUGAAUCUUGCAUUAAAAGGUGUGUUAAGUGCGGGAAGUGCAUUAAGGAUGGGGAGUACUGGGACGAAACCUUUUUCUUCGAUUACAUUUGUUGCGACUGCGCUGACCUUCCGCACAAUGCAGAAGACGUUGUCGAGGAGGAAUAGAAAUUAUUCGACUUAUUGCUCUCUUUUUCUUUUUUUUUUUUCCUUUUUCUUUUGAUUUUGUCUGGCUCUGCAGCUGGUUGAAAUCUGGCUAGUCGGCGUUUUUCUAUUUUUUCUGUCCGCUGUGGCCGAUGAGCUUCAACAAGCCAGUGUUCAGAUUAUUUAAUGGAAACCACAAAAAAAAAGACGAAUAUAUCAGAAAAAAUCUACAAAAAAAGAAGAAAAGGAGAAAAAGAUUAAAAAAAAAAGAAUGAAGAAUGAGCUCGUGAAGAGUUACCUUCGCUGUCGGUGGUUGGCUUUCAAUUGGCUUCGAAAAUCUACAAGAGUGAGAGAAGGCAAUAAUUCAUAUUAAACUUUAGCUUUUGGUUCCCGUAUCCUUGAAACAGUUGAGCAGGAAAAAAAUAUCGCGCCUUCUUUCGUACUCUCGCAUUCUUGUUCGGUCGCACAAUUGCUAUUGCAAUUGAAUCCUUUGGGAUUGUUUAUUUCAAGUUAAAAAAUAGGAAAAGCGCAAAGUUAACACGUGAUGCAGAAAGUUUAAAACUUUUUGUUCGUCAAAUGCUUUACGCCAUCCUACUGCCGUCGGAAGCAGAAGCAGAAACGGGAUCAAACAGGCAGUCUGCCUUCAUGCUGGGUAAAUUGUGCAGAAUAGAAUUACUUCUGUCAAACAUUUGCCUUUGCAGGAAAAUUCAUGUACCAGUCUGACAGGUAAAGCAGUUACAGAGAUCCUUUUGCUGUGCCAUUUUUUUGAGUAUUUUCUGUUGGAUAGUUGAUGCUAACCAUAAUUUAAAAAUCUCGAGCUUUUUAUA